UACGGAGGGGGCUAGCGUUGUUCGGAAUUACUGGGCGUAAAGCGCACGUAGGCGGCUUUGUAAGUUAGAGGUGAAAGCCCGGGGCUCAACCCCGGAAUAGCCUUUAAGACUGCAUCGCUUGAACGUCGGAGAGGUGAGUGGAAUUCCGAGUGUAGAGGUGAAAUUCGUAGAUAUUCGGAAGAACACCAGUGGCGAAGGCGGCUCACUGGUCCGGUACUGACGCUGAGGUGCGAAAGCGUGGGGAGCAAACAGG
rnacentral:rRNA from 1 species